UUUCGCAAGGGGCGAAAGCCUGACGGAGCAAUACCGCGUGAGGGAUGAAGCUCUUGGGAUUGUAAACCUCUUUUCUCAGGGAAGAAUAAUGAGGGUGUCUGAGGAAUAAGCAUCGGCUAAAUCCGUGCCACCAGCCCCGGUAAUACACAGGAUGCAAGCGUUAUCCGGAAUGAUUGGGCGUAAAGGGUCUGUAGGUGGUUGUUCAAGUCUGCUGUUAAAGCGUCUGGGUUAACCACAUAAAGGCGGUGGAAACUAAACGACUAGAGUGCGGUAGGGGUAGAGGGAAUUCCCCCUGUAGCGGGGAAAUGCGUAGAUAUUGUGAAAAACACCUGUGGCGAAAGCGCUCUCCUGGACCGCGACUGACACUGAUGGACGAAAACUAGGGGGAGCGAAUGGGGAUUAGAUACCCCCCUAGUCCUAUCCGUAAACAAUGGAGACUACGCGUUGCCCGUAUCUACCCCCGCAGUGUCGCACCUACACGUUAAAUAUCCCGCCCGGGGAGUACCCCCGCACGUGUGGAAACUCCAGGAGUUUUGCGGGG
rnacentral:rRNA from 1 species